CAUGGUGACUGUUAACAAUACAACUUCUUCAGACUCUACACUCUUCAGAGUAGGAGCGAAGGCACCUCAGCGACCACACAAGGAGUCAUGAGGAAACCCUGGGGAGCUCUGCUGGGGCUUCUGUGGGUGCAGGUUUGCUGGGUGAGAGGGAUGGAGGUGGAGCAGAGACCUCCAGCCCUGAGCGUCCAGGAGGGAGCCAGCUCUACCCUGAGCUGCAACUUUUCCAGCGCAGUGGACAGUGUGCAGUGGUUCCGACAGAAUCCUGGGGACGGCGGCCUCACGCGGCUGUUUUACAUCGCGUCAGGAAAGAAGCAGGACGGGAGGUUAGCUUGCACACUGAACACGAAGGACCGGCACAGCAGCCUGCACAUCAGGGCCUCCAGGCAGGAAGACGCAGCCACCUACCUGUGUGCGGUGGAGGCACAGUGCUGCCUGCCGCCCUGCAGCCUGUCCCCAAACUGCAGCUGGGCUGGCAGCCCAAGCUCCUCAUGGGACAGGCAUUUAUUUGCCCCCACAUUUUCAUAUUUGUUACAUUUUGCACAUUUUCAUAUUUAUGUUACAGCGCUUUUUUCCUCCCUAAAAGUAGACCCAUCAGGACUGUCAUUUCACAUUUGCUUUUCUUACCCUUUUUCUUCCCAGAAAACCCUUUCCAGGUAAAAAGCUUUACCAUGGACCUAUUAGAGUAGUUGAUAGAGAUGCCAGGAUCCAAUGCUCUAUUAAAACAUAUCUCUGGGAAGCUAGCAUAUAAAUUAUAUGUAAAUUACUCAGAUGGAAAAGACUCAAAAACA